rnacentral:rRNA from 1 species
CCUACGGGUGGCUGCAGUGAGGAAUAUUUGUCAAUGGGCGCGAGCCUGAUCCAGCCAAGCCGCGUGAAGGAUGACUGCCCUCCGGGUUGUAAACUUCUUUUAUAAGGGAAUAAAGUGAGGCGCGUGUGCCUUUUUGUAUGUACUUUAUGAAUACGGCUCGGCUAACUCCGUGCCAGCAGCCGCGGUAAUCCGGGGGAUCCGAGCGUUAUCCGGAUGUAUUGGGUGUAAAGGGCGCGUAGGUGGAUUGUUAAGUCAGGUGUGAAAGGGUGCGGCUCAACCGUAAAAUUGCAGUUGAAACUGGCAGUCUUGAGUACAGUAGAGGUAGCCGGAAUUCGUGGUGUAGCGGUGAAAUGCGUAGAUAUCACGAAGAACUCCGAUUGCGAAGGCAGUUCACUGGACUGCAACUGACACUGAGGCACGAAAGUGUGGGUAGCAAACAGGAUUAGAUACCCCAGUAGUC